AGUCCUCUUCACCUCUGUGAACAGAGGAGACGCAGAUCAAGCAUAUCUGGCCUGAAGAUGGAGGGAAGAAAGAAUUGGAGAAUACGGGAUCCAUUUCCCCUUCAACUCCAUACUCUGGUUUUGCAGAAGCCUCUCUGGGAUGCACUUCAAAGUAUCAACAACACCUGAAGAACAAAGGAAGCAGCACUGGACUGGGGGAUAGAUUGUGACUGAAAGGAGUACAGCCAGUAAGACUGAUGAGAUAUGUGGUGAGAGAGACCUUUGCUUUGAAUUCCCUCUAACUUGUUAAGUUAGUCAUUAGUUGUGAUUUGCUUCCAUUUUCUUGUAACCAAUUCUGACUUUUAUACCUCAUUACUUGUAAUAACUGAAUCUAUCUUUCUGUAGUUAAUAAAUUAGUUUUUACUGUUUUA